rnacentral:snRNA from 1 species
GGAUGUGAGGGUGAUCGGGCUGUGACAUCUGUCACCUGAUUGAUCGCCAGGGUUGAUUUGGCUGAUCUGGCUGGCUAGGCGGGUGUCUCCUUCCUCCCUCAGCCCUCCAUGUGUGUCCCUCCUGAAGCUGCGUGCUCAGUCAAAGAGGAUGACCACCCCCGACAGAGGAGGAGCGUUCCUCGGUCAAGGGUAUAUGAUUAGCUGCGCUCCCCUGCUAGAACCUCCAAACAAGCUCUCAGGAUAAUAGAGUACUAAUAAUUAAUACAUUGCGUAACUGUCUUCAGAGUAGUUACUCAGAGU